AAAGUGCUGUUACGCACUUGGGAUGCCACUGGGGUCCGCGUCGCUGCUACGCAGCGGCAGGCGCUGGGAGUGACGAAGCGCUCUGCUGGUUUGGUUGCCUGCGUCUCACUGUUGAAAGUGGGGGAUUAUUUGGGGAGGGAUCCUGGUUUUGUGUAUUUUUGAGAAGAACGUAAAUAGUCCUUUCCUGGAACGGGAGAGCGGCCCGGUCCUAGUGCCCGCUAAUACUAGGGGCUGUGGAGCGGACGGAGGUUGUGGCCCUACCUAAGCGUGACCUCGCUCCGCGAAGCCGCCCGCGGGGCGCUGAUGGCCGAACGCAUUCUGGGAAAGACUUUAGCCACGGUGUCUCUCUCUGUGGCCUUGGCCUCUGUGACUGUCAAGUCCUCGGGCUGUUGCAGCAUUCCGGCGUGCAGAAACUCAUUUUUAUCCUGUGGGUUUCAUCUUAACUCCAACAUCAUGUCUAGUUCUAAUGGUGCCAAAGAGAAUUCGCACAACAAGGCUCGAACAUCUCCGUAUCCUGGUUCAAAAGUCCAACGCAGCCAGGUUCCAAAUGAGAAAGUAGGAUGGUUUGUUGAGUGGCAAGACUAUAAUCCUGUGGAAUACACUGCUGUCUCUGUCUUGGCAGGACCCAGGUGGGCCGAUCCUCAGAUCAGUGAAAGUAACUUCUUUCCCAAGUUUAAUGAAAAGGAUGGGCAUGUUGAGAGAAAGAGCCAGAAUGGUCUAUAUGAGAUUGAAAAUGGAAGACCCAGAAAUCCUGCAGGACGGACAGGACUGAUUGGCCGGGGGCUUUUGGGGCGAUGGGGCCCAAAUCAUGCUGCAGAUCCCAUCAUAACCAGGUGGAAAAGGGAUAGAAGUGGAAAUAAAAUUACCCACCCUGUUUCUGGGAAAAACAUCUUACAGUUUGUGGCAAUAAAAAGGAAAGACUGUGGAGAAUGGGCAAUCCCAGGGGGGAUGGUGGACCCAGGAGAGAAGAUUAGUGCUACACUGAAAAGAGAAUUUGGUGAGGAAGCUCUCAACUCCUUACAGAAAUCCAGUGCAGAAAAGAGAGAAUUAGAGGAACAGUUGCACAAACUCUUCAGCCAGGAACAUCUAGUGAUAUAUAAAGGAUAUGUCGAUGAUCCUCGAAACACUGAUAAUGCAUGGAUGGAGACAGAAGCUGUGAACUACCAUGAUGAAACAGACUGGCAGCUUGCUCAAGGAAUUGACCAGUGAAAGAAAGUGAAUCCCUUCGUAUUUGUAGAGCUGUCCAUCCCGGUGUGUAUGCAAGAAUAUGUAAGUCAAACACUGUCCCAUUGUUUGCUUAGGCAAGAACAAUACCUGAGGUGGUGUUUGUUUCUUAAGGGUGACUCUUCCUGCUUUCUGACUUAACUAGGAUUCCUGGGAGAAUCCUGGGCUAUGAAGGUAUGGCAGUUCUAGAAGUUAUUCUGUCAGAAUUCUUUCCAGGAUAUAGGUUGUGGCCAAGAGUACUUCUAAAAAUUUUCCAAAAAAGAAAGUAUAAAUAGGUAUUAAGUGUCCAGAUCUGGUAAUGUGAAUGAGUAUCUGAGGAGUAUAUUUGCACUGGAAGAGACCUGGGAGGUAAACCGAUACCUUUACCCAGGGUCACACAGCUAAUUUAAUUGUAAAAGAGAUUUAAAUCAAGAGAGAAAUUAGAAUCUAAGAGAGGUUUGAAUCUAGGCUUUCCAACCACAGGCCAGUGCUCUUUCUGCAGGUUUUGAUAUAAAGGUGAACUUGCCAAUUUUGUAAUCGUUAAUGAUUAAUCAUUGAAGGCAGUUUCCUAAAACAUUUUUCGUUAGAAAUAUGCUAGAAUUUUUAUUGUCUGCCAUUUGGAAAUGGACUAUAACAUUGCUUAAACAGAGUGGAUUAUGGGAAGAGCACUAGCACUUGAACUCAAGAGACUUAGGUUCUUAUUGAUUAGACUCAGAAGCUUGUUUGGUCUCAAGUUUCUGGGACACUUAAAUAUUCCUCAAGAUGGUUGGCUUUAAAUAGUCUCAAAUCCUGAAAAAUUUUAUCUCCGGCACACGAAUGAUUUAGGCCUGAGUUUCUGACAUUUUUACAAAAUACUGCCAUGUCCCUGAUUCUAAGAUACCACCAAUUGUAAAAUGUACCAUUUUAAGUGAUAGUAUUUUAAAGAAAAAAGAAAUCUUAGAAUAAAUGUAUCUGUUGUGAGAUGUGUCUUGAUUUCAGAAAAUGUUUAAGUAUGAAAAGUAUGUUUUUAGAUAAGGAAAUGGAAUUUUUCAGUAUUAUCUUUUGUAACUCCACUCCAGUUUUUCUCCUCUGUUUUCAUGAACUAAUAUUCUGAAUAACUUACUGUAUCAAUAAAGGGCCUUAUUAAAAAAUUGAAUUGUGUGCCUUUCAUCCAAAAAAAAAAAGCAGCAUUAUCUAUUGGAACUUAGCUUUGAUAAUCUUUAAUGUAUAAUGUGUUUAUGCUAAUGCUUCAUUAGUGAAGAAAUAAUCAAGUCUUUUUCAUUUCUCCAAAAGGAAUUUAUUCUGUAAGUCUAAGUCUUUUGACUCUUCACUUUCACCCUCAUCAGUGAUGGAAAAGGUUGUUUUGUCAAUUUAUAGUUUGUAUGAAUUGAAUAAUGAAUGUAGAACUGUUUGUAGAAUGUAGAAAUGAACUGAGAUUGUUUUUUGACUUUGAAUUUAACAGCUGAGAUUUAUUUUGUUUCGAAAUGAAUUAGACUAGUAAAGACAGAAAUUUUUAUGAUGAGCUGGCCUAUCUUAUAAAGGGAGUUGAAUGUAAUAUGUUUAUGAACUUUAUAGAUUAACAGGGCAGAUAUAUUUACCGUUAUAAGAUCAUUAAGUGUCAGGACCUAGAAUAAAGGAAACGCAGUUAAAUAAUCAGGGAGUUGUAAUUCAGCAUUUUAACUAUCUUUUCUAUGUUAUACAUUUUAUAUUACCUUGAUUAAUGAACACAUGCUUUUUAGAAUUCUUAGAUUUCUAAAAUUAUGGCAUUAAGAUUCAUAUUCACUAAUAUAGUACCCAUCCUCCUUUCAAACCUAUAUUUCUGGAAGCAUAUAGUCCACAUUUUCUUUUGUGGUCUCCAAACAUAGCAGGGACUUCUCGGAAAGAUCAUUAAACUUAGGCUCACUGGGUUGGAGCAAAGACUAUAUUUUAGGAUCACUUCCUUAUGAAAGAAGUACUUUAAUAAUGUCAUUCCCUAUCAUUGUAAUAGUAUCAUUUAAAAAUUUAGUAACAGUAUGCUAUAAUAUAUACAACAUAUUUUUUGGUUUGUGACUAAGUCAAUCUCGUCAUGUAAUUGUCCCUCCAUUCAGCAAAAUCCUGUAAAAAAUGAAAUCCUUUUAUAACACGACCAUAACCUUAAAUCUAGUUCAAAGGAUUCUAGGACAGAUUCCAUUUCAAUAAGAAUGUAUUUUUCUCUCAUUAAUGGCAGAUGUAAGCAUAAGGUUUUAGAGGUAAAAUGGGCUUUAUAAAUAAUUCACUGUUUUAUACUUUCUUAAAGGAAACUUUAAGUAUAAUUACCUGAUUUGGAUAAUAAGGAAAAGGAAAAGGAAUCGGAAUCUACAAAAAAAGAAGGAAAACAAGUGAAGUGUGAAUAAAACAAUUUUGUUUUAGCUUUUUUCCUAAUUUACUUACCCUUCCAUCCAUCCAUCCAUCCAUCCAGUAUUUAUUGAACAAUUAUAUGCUCUCAACGAGCCCACCUUCUACUUGGUGAAGCUUAGAUUCUAAUGGAUUUUAAAUCUUUUUUUUUUCUCUCUCAAGAGAUAUGCUUCUUUUGCUUCAUUAGUCAAAUCUAAAGCCAAAAGGAAUCUGUUUGAUGUGUUUGUUAAUUCUUGCAAAUUCACCACCAGUUUGUCUACAGUAGUUGAUUCUUUGCUUGCUUUUUAAUACUACUCUGCCAUCUGGUGGAAGGAAGAGUUUCCACUUCAAAUGCUAGGGAUUCUUUACUGCCACACAGAUUUACAUAAGAUGUUAACAGAGACUCUUAUAUUCUAAUUAUAAACCAAAACUUCAGAAUUUUUCAUUAAUUUAAAAAAAAUAUUUCUGGAUUUCAGCCAAAACAACAACAACAACAGCAGCAACACCACCACUACCACAAAAGGGAAACAAUGCCCCGCCCCUUGACUAAAACCAAAAUGACUAGCAAUUAAUGAUAAAUGCAAGUAGUCAGAAAUUUAGUGGCUAGGAUUCAAGUAGGAUACGUGAAAACAUUAAAGGGAAAGACUUCCACUGGGGACCUCAACUUUAGUGACAAAUUUCCAAAAGCCUACUUAAAGUUGAGAAACAGUUUGAAAUUAAAUACAAGCAAAAGGAAGGUGCUUAUUACAUUUAGAUAUAACACUAUGCAAAAUCAUGUUUAUUUUAAAAAUAGGUGGUAGACAAGAAGUUAAGCCAGAUGCUAUUUUAAAAUGUGUGUGAAUUUUUCACAGCAUCAUUGCUUAAAUACUGUCCAAAUUUAACAUGUCUCCAAUCUGUGUUGCAACCUCAUUGUACUGAUCAUUCUUCUCCCAAACUGCCAUGUCCUCAGGUCCCUCAGAUACAUUUGCUGUUCCCUCUGCCUGCAGUGCGCCCCCCCCCACCCCCCCAUGAUCUGGCUCAGAUAAUGUCUCCUCUGUGAAUGAAGUCUUUGACCCACAGCCUAAGCCAACUUUGUAUUUGCACCUAGAAGUACUUAUCAAAAUACAUUUUUACAUUUAUGAAUCUUUUUCUCAUCAGACUGUGAACUUAUCUCAUAAUUUUUGUAUUUCUAGCACUCACUAUAGACCCUAUCAUGCAGUAGACACUCAGUAAAUAUCAAUUGAAUGCUAUCUGUCUGUACAAAUGUAAGUAUUACAUAUAAAGUGAAGGAAAUUCUAUUUGUAUAUUUAGCACUGUUCUGGGCUUUAUUAAAAGAUGGCCAAGAAUCCAGACAUUAGGAGAGAUUGGAGAGGAUCCAGCAGAAAGAGCAAAAUAAUUAUACUGUUUGACCUGUGGGAGAAAGCUGAAAAAACAAAAACUUUUUAGAAAAAACUAAGUAGCAAGAUGAUUUAGAAAAAGAACAGGUAUUAUGGAAAGAGUUUAGUAUAUCCUUCAUGAAGUGCAACUAGGCUCAUCACAGUCAAAGGAAAUUCAGUAUAAACACCUUUUUGAUGGCAAGUAUAGAAGGACAUUGAAAGAAGUCACCAAAAAUUUUGGGGAAAAUUUGCUAGCUCCUUGUCACACUCCACCGCAGGCUAUGCGGGGAGAGGGUGUGAACAGCUCGUGCCUGGCAACACGUGAAAGCCCCAAAUUUUAAAUUUAAUAACUAUCCUCUAACUAAUAAGUGGUUUUUUAAUGUUUGUUUGUUUGUUUGCAAUUUGAGAGUCCCCAAACCCAUGUUUACCAAGGGCAGUUGUGGAGGUGGGGGAAACAGGAUCUGAGGAAAAAAUGACGGUCCUUGUGGCGGGUAAAAACCAAAUCUCUGAAAAAAAGAGACAUGAUGCCAGUCAUUUCAGACAACUGUAAACUUUUAAAAUCAUGAACAUGUCAUUUGAAAAAAACAACUAGAAGUUUACCUGUCCACUGGAACUUCCUCCAGAUGGUUCAAGCUUGUAAAACAGCACCGGCAACAAGGUAAAGCAACAUAUGGCAAGACAUUAUUUAUUACAAAGAGAUUUGAUGAGAAUAGGUAACAAGCCACUAUUGAGCGUUACGCUGGUCAGUGGUGUACCUUCACUUCUGAAAUGAAAAGCAGUUGUGUGUCCAAUGGGGAAAGGUUGAAUUAAUUUUGUCCAGUGAUUUAGAAGGUGUACUUUUGGCUUUUAAACUUAUUUCCAAAUGAUGUUUUUACUUACAUUUCUUAAGAGUAAUUACAUGUUGCAUGCCUCUUUAUCUUCGAAUCAACAAUGAUCUCAAUUUCAUUCUCAGCAUUUAGAAGUUCAAAGUGAAGAGCAUGUAGAAAUGUAAAUUUAAAUUUGGAAUCCCCAAACACAAAGUUUGAAAGCUCCCUCACUUUGAAAGCUCCUUUGUCAAAAAAUGUGCAGGAAAGAGGAUUUCUUGUCUACUUGGUGCCCUCCGUAUUCAGACUGUAAUCGACACAGAUCACACUCAGAGAUCUCAUUUGUAUAGAUGUGGAAGGCACGGCUAUAGUCAGCAUGAGAUGGUUUGGGGUAAAGGCAUUAUAAAGAAACCCAAUUCAAACUACAUAACUAAGACCCAGGUCACUGUGGAAUUUGAGUUCUAGCUUCCUAAAUUUAUUUGAGAACUUCCUAUUUUCCAGUUAGGACUCUUAUGUGCUUUAGAAACAUUUUUAUUAUCUUUGCACUACUCUGAGGUAGUUCUUAUGUCUCAUUUUACAGACUGGGAAGUCAUGGGUUAGUUCCUUGCUCAAGGUCACGUGGUUUACAGAUGCUAUGUGGAACUGAGAUUUGUGCUGAGAAGACCACUGGGCUGAGAAACAGUGAUAAAUUCCUGAUUCUGUAACUUCCUUGGACUCUACCUUUCUCUUUUGUGAAAGGAAAAGAUACAGGAUAUGCCUCCUAGCCCAGAAAUACUAUCUCUAGAAUGGAAAUGGAGUGGAAAAUGGAACCGAUGUACUCACAGGGAUGGGCAGAGCAGCGGCAGUGCUCAAAAGGCCAGCCAAGAGGAGAACUUUCAUUCUGAAGGAAGAGUCUGGAAUUAAAGGAUGCCAAGCUGUGAGAAGUCCUAUGGAGAGGACCACAUGGUGAGGAAACGGAAUCUUCCAACAGUAGCCAUGUGGGCGAGUUCAGAGGAGAUCCUAAGAUAGAACUGUCCAGAUAAACAACUCCUAGAUUCCUGAUCCUUGGAAACUGUGAACUUACUCAGAAUUGAUCAGCCAGUAUAUAUUUGAUCUUGAAGAAAAUGCUGCUAAAGAGUAUGGGUGUGCAUUCCCAAGACUUCUCAUACUAAUUUCUUAGGUUUCUCAUACUAAGUGAUAAACUUCCAAAGGAAAAUUUAUUUCUUCCCAUUCUCUUUGGCAUUUGGGUCCUGGAAGAUCCCCUUUCUAAUAAAUUAUAAUCAACAUUGUCAGAUUUAUAUUUAUUGUAUCUUGUAGAAUCUGGUAGUUCUGAAGGAAAUAUUCUUUCAGAAAGUAUUUUAUAUCAAUAUUUUGAGUCAUUCAUUUUCUGCUUGGGAAAAAAUAAUAUUAAAACAAAAAAGAGAAUUUCAAACCACUAUAUAAACACAUUUUCUUUUAAAUGGAGGAUUUCUAAAUUAAAUGUAGGAAGGAGAGAUGUAAUAACAGAAAAAAGGGUAUUUACCGGUAUUGCAGUUGCAGUUCCCAAAAUGUAUAGGAGAAAAACUACAGUCUUCAUGCUUUCUAGGCCUGCGAACGAAGAAGAUAAUUAGCAGUGGUGGGUAAAAGUUUCCUUGUGAAAAAUUAAAAGAUAAUCUUCUUAGGAAAUAAUGAGCUUGAUACUGACCUUUGUAUUUAAACGCGAUUACUGUCUUUACAGUAAUGCCUUUACAGACAUGUGAACUAACAUGUCUGGAAAGACGGAUUUAAUGACAGUUUUUAUCCAGUUGUGUCUGUGAGAAUGACUCCUUGAUUUUUUGGCCCAGCUGUGUUUGGGCAGCACCUAUCUCUGUUUUUGACUGUGUUUUCAUGAAUAAAGAUGCUAUGCAGAUUUAA